GAUGAACGCUGGCGGCGUGCCUAAUACAUGCAAGUCGAGCGAACGGACGAGAAGCUUGCUUCUCUGAUGUUAGCGGCGGACGGGUGAGUAACACGUGGAUAACCUACCUAUAAGACUGGGAUAACUUCGGGAAACCGGAGCUAAUACCGGAUAAUAUUUUGAACCGCAUGGUUCAAAAGUGAAGGACGGUCUUGCUGUCACUUAUAGAUGGAUCCGCGCUGCAUUAGCUAGUUGGUAAGGUAACGGCUUACCAAGGCAACGAUGCAUAGCCGACCUGAGAGGGUGAUCGGCCACCCUGGAACUGAGACACGGUCCAGACCCCUACGGGAGGCAGCAGUAGGGAAUCUUCCGCAAUGGGCGAAAGCCUGACGGAGCAACGCCGCGUGAGUGAUGAAGGUCUUCGGAUCGUAAAACUCUGUUAUUAGGGAAGAACAUAUGUGUAAGUAACUGUGCACAUCUUGACGGUACCUAAUCAGAAAGCCACGGCUAACUACGUG
rnacentral:rRNA from 1 species